UGCUGGCGAGACAGUAGCACGGGCGG
rnacentral:piRNA from 1 species